UACGUAGGGUCCGAGCGUUGUCCGGAAUUAUUGGGCGUAAAGAGCUCGUAGGCGGUUUGUCGCGUCUGCUGUGAAAACUCGGGGCUUAACCCCGGGCCUGCAGUGGGUACGGGCAGACUAGAGUGCGGUAGGGGAGACUGGAAUUCCUGGUGUAGCGGUGGAAUGCGCAGAUAUCAGGAGGAACACCGGUGGCGAAGGCGGGUCUCUGGGCAACAACUGACGCUGAGGAGCGAAAGCGUGGGGAGCGAACAGG
rnacentral:rRNA from 1 species